rnacentral:rRNA from 1 species
AGGUAGGAAUACCCGCUGAACUUAAGCAUAUCAAUAAGCGGAGAAAAGAAACCAACAGGGAUUGCCCUAGUAACGGCGAGUAAGCGGCAACAGCUCAAAUUUGAAAUCCGGCUUCGGCCCGAGUUGUAAUUUGCAGAGGAUGUUUAUGGUGCAGUACUUUCCGAGUUCCCUGGAACGGGACGCCACAGAGGGUGAGAGCCCCGUCUGGAUUGAUACUAAACCUGUGUUAAACUCCUUCAACGAGUCGAGUAGUUUGGGAAUGCUGCUCUAAAUGGGAGGUAAAUCUCUUCUAAAGCUAAAUAUUGGCCAGAGACCGAUAGCGCACAAGUAGAGUGAUCGAAAGAUGAAAAGCACCUUGAAAAGGGGGUUAAACAGUACGUGAAAUUGUUGAAAGGGAAGCGUUUAUGACCAGACUUGUGCUGUGUGGCUCAUCCGAGGUUCUCCCCGGUGCACUCCAUACAGUUCAGGCCAACAUCGGUUGUCGUCGGAGGAUAAGAACAGUAGGAACGUGGCCCUUUUCGGGGGGUGUUAUAGCCUAUUGUAUGAUACUCUGAUGGCGACCGAGGACCGCGCUUCGGCUAGGAUGUUGG